UACGGGGGGGGCAAGCGUUGUUCGGAAUUACUGGGCGUAAAGCGCACGUAGGCGGAUUGUUAAGUCAGGGGUGAAAUCCUGGAGCUCAACUCCAGAACUGCCUUUGAUACUGGCGAUCUCGAGUCCGGGAGAGGUGAGUGGAACUGCGAGUGUAGAGGUGAAAUUCGUAGAUAUUCGCAAGAACACCAGUGGCGAAGGCGGCUCACUGGCCCGGUACUGACGCUGAGGUGCGAAAGCGUGGGGAGCAAACAGG
rnacentral:rRNA from 1 species